rnacentral:tRNA from 1 species
UAACUCAGUGGUAGAGUGCUUGCUUACCAUGCACAAGUCCCUGGGUUCGAUUCCCAG